CGGUCACCGCUCCCCCUCGCCAGCCGAGGGGACUCCUGCGCGCGCGGGGUACCAACCCCGCCAGCCUGCGAGCCCUUCCUUCGCGUCCAGGCGGCGGGUCCCGAGCAGAAACAGCUAGGAAGAAGGGGCCCAGGGCGCUGCUCUGCACCCCGCCCUGCGGGGCCCAGACUCACUGUGUACUGGGGGCUUUACUGCCUUGGCCUCAGGCAGGUGGCGGCUGCUCCUCGGACUUUUCAAAAACGGGAAAAGUGACACCGAAUCGCCCAAAGUCACUGAGGAGAGUGCCUGGAGGGAUGCAGGUUUCUGGACGAGAAGUUUCUUUCCGAGGUUGGAGUCGGAAUUCUCACGCAUGACUGUGGGCCUCUGAGGCCGGAGAGAGAUCCGCAAACUGGCGCUGCCCGAAGUCCCUUCCCGCCUGCAGCUCCCCAUGAGAGUCCUUGAACAGGCUUCGCGUCGCUACCUCGCCCGAGAUUUCGGAAUGGAAACUACGAAUGUGGAAAAACUGUGUUCAAAUAAUCAGUGCUCUCCUGCCUCUUAAGUAAGUGUAGUCUUUAUCUACACGGACGUAUGCAUUGUCAUUUCCCAUUAAUGCAGAUUUUGCGAGAUAUUUUUGACAACUGUUUGAAGCUAUAAUGAGGAAGAAUAACAACUACUUAUUCGAGAAGAAGCAAAUUGUUUGAAAAAAUUAGGAGAACUUUUAUCUCCUUUCUCCUCCACCCCCCCCAAAAAAAAUUGGCGAGUGACUUCACAGAUUCCAUGGCAGGUCAAAAUUAUAACUGAAAUGAAAAUAAAAGAAGCCAAUAUAUCUCUUCCAUUUGAUUAACAGAUUUUUCUCAAUUUGCAAGGUAAGAUUUAAGAAUCUCUUUAAUUAUUUUCACUAUGUUAAUUGUCCUAUAGAUUUUCAUUGCUAUUUUCUACCCAAAAUUUCACAGAGUGCACUUGUAUGUUUUGGGCCUAAUUUUUUGUUUAAGGCAGCUGUUCGUAGGUCUCAAAGUCCUUGAUUCAACAGCCUUCUCAACUGCAUUUUUAUGUGCCCAGGGCUGAAAUUAGUUCAUUUUAAAGUUUAACAUAAAUCUUUGACUCUAAAAAGUGGAGAGAAAGUUGGAGAGCCCAAUAACAAAAUAAUUGUCAUAAUCACUAUAGUAUCAGUUUCAGUUGAGUCAUAUAGAUAUAAGAAUGCAUAGAAGAAUCACUCAGCCCAUUGAAGAGGGAAAUACAGACAUCUGAGCAUGGUCACUGCACUUUUCUGUGGAUCAGCAAUGAAAAAGAGUUGAAUGGAAAUGUUGAAAAUUUUCUUAAGAUAUUUUUGACAGCCAUCAACAGUGCUGCAGCAUGACAAGAUUUUCAUCUUAUGUGUUCUCUUCAAAAACGUCUAAGCAUUGCUUUUCAUAGGAAUAUUCGAAGACCUUUAUACUUUAUACUUCUAUACUUUUUAACUUUUGUUCAAUUACAUGUAUAACAAAAGUAUUAUAAAUCUAACAGUUUAAUCUGAUUGUAAUUAAUAUUUCUGUAAUUUCUUAAUGUCCGAAUUCCAUACUAGAUUGUAAGCCCUGUGAGAGCAGGGUUCACAUGUGUCACAUGUGUAUUUACAUGUCAUGUUCUCUUCCGGAUCCCCAGUACCUAGCAGAAUAACCAGUAUAUAAUAGGGUCUCAAAAAAUACUUGAUGAAUGACUGAAAUAAAUCAGUCUAUGUUUCUCUCACUUUCUUCUCCAUCCUUAGGCAAGACUUAAUUCUCUGCAUAUGUAAAUUGAGUAGAAUUAUAUUUAUAAGAAUUAAGAUCAUUUGUUAAUUUAUAAUAAACUAUAACUAUCAAACAAACAAGUUCAGUAAUCAGAACUUAGCACUAAGUAGCCUCUCAUUGUAGCUUACAAUGAUCCCUGCCUCCUGGUUUAUGCCCUUGUGUAAUCCUCUUCCAUUGAGUAUGGGGUGGAGUUAUUGAGUGGCUUCUAACUCACAGAAUACAUCAGAAAUGAUGAGAUUUCUCCAACAAAAGACUGUGGCUUUGGUCUUGGAUUCUCCCUCUCGUCCUCUUGGGUGCUUACUCUGGGGGAAGCCAGCUACCAUGUCAUCUGCAACUGUGUGAGUCAGUUCAGAAUUGGAUCCUAGCCAAGUAGAACCUUGAGAUGACUGCAGCCGUAGCCAGCACCUCAGUUACAGCACUCCUGACAGAUUCGAGCCAGAAUAAACAACUGCUCCUGGGUUGUUUAUUCACAGAAACUAUGAAAUAAUAAAUAUUUCUUGUUUCCAGCUGCAAAUUUUGAGGAUCAUUUGUUACACAGCAAUGGAUAACUAAUACAAUACUGUAAUACCUGGAAGAUAGCAAGUGCUCAUUAAUGGUAGCUGUUUAUUUAAUGAAUAAAACUGGGUUUAGCAUAUGAUACUUAACAUUCUAUAAAGCUGAGUUUAAUGAUACUGUUUACAAUGGCAGUGAGAGAAGGUAUCCAAGAAAAGUAGAAAGACUGACUUUACCUGAUUUGUUAUUUGUAGACUGUCUUUGCUCUAAGAGAAUUCAUUAAAAUGUAUUUCAUAUGAUGUCUAGGAUUUACUUCAAAAUAAUGCAGUGGGGAUGGGAGGGUGAGUAAGUAGAGGUUUAGGUAAAACAAAAUUGGAUGUAUGUUGAAGUAGAGUGAUUGGUACUUGAAGGCUCCUUAUGUUUACUUAAUUUUUAUUCCUUUUUGAAAUUUUCCAUAAUAAAAAGUUUUAAGUA